rnacentral:rRNA from 1 species
UACGGGGGGGGCAAGCGUUGUUCGGAAUUACUGGGCGUAAAGGGCUCGUAGGCGGCCAACUAAGUCAUACGUGAAAUCCCUCAGCUUAACUGGGGAACUGCGUGUGAUACUGGAUGGCUUGGAUUUGGGAGAGGGAUGCGGAAUUCCAGGUGUAGCGGUGAAAUGCGUAGAUAUCUGGAGGAAUACCGGUGGCGAAAGCGACUCUCUGGACGGCAACUGACGCUGAGGCACGAAAGCGUGGGGAGCAAACAGG